rnacentral:rRNA from 1 species
CUUUCCCUCUGGCUUUAGGCCUAACACAUGCAAGUCGAACGGCAGCACAGUAAGAGCUUGCUCUUACGGGUGGCGAGUGGCGGACGGGUGAGGAAUACAUCGGAAUCUACUUUUUCGUGGGGGAUAACGUAGGGAAACUUACGCUAAUACCGCAUACGACCUACGGGUGAAAGCAGGGGAUCUUCGGACCUUGCGCGAUUGAAUGAGCCGAUGUCGGAUUAGCUAGUUGGCGGGGUAAAGGCCCACCAAGGCGACGAUCCGUAGCUGGUCUGAGAGGAUGAUCAGCCACACUGGAACUGAGACACGGUCCAGACUCCUACGGGAGGCAGCAGUGGGGAAUAUUGGACAAUGGGCGCAAGCCUGAUCCAGCCAUACCGCGUGGGUGAAGAAGGCCUUCGGGUUGUAAAGCCCUUUUGUUGGGAAAGAAAAGCAGCAGGUUAAUACCCCGCUGUUCUGACGGUACCCAAAGAAUAAGCACCGGCUAACUUCGUG